GGGUCGGUACCAAAGCGGUCAACUGGGACAGACUGUAAAUCUGUUGGCCUUGCGCCUUCGUAGGUUCGAAUCCUACCCGGCCCACCA
rnacentral:tRNA from 1 species